UUAAGUGAAUAAGGGCGCACGGUGGAUGCCUUGGCACUAGGAGCCGAUGAAGGACGGGACUAACACCGAUAUGCUUUGGGGAGCUGUAAGUAAGCUAUGAUCCAGAGAUUUCCGAAUGGGGGAACCCAAUAUCUUUUAUAGGAUAUUACUUUUCAGUGAAUACAUAGCUGAUUAGAGGUAGACGCAGAGAACUGAAACAUCUUAGUACCUGCAGGAAGAGAAAGAAAAUUCGAUUCCCUGAGUAGCGGCGAGCGAAACGGGAAGAGCCCAAACCAACAAGCUUGCUUGUUGGGGUUGUAGGACUCCAAUAUGGUAGUCUGUUAGUAUAGUUGAAGGAUUUGGAAAAUUCCGCUAAAGAGGGUGAAAGCCCCGUAGACGAAAUGCUAACAACGCCUAGGAGGAUCCUGAGUACGGCGGAACACGAGAAAUUCCGUCGGAAUCCGCGGGGACCAUCCCGCAAGGCUAAAUACUCCCUAGUGACCGAUAGUGAACCAGUACCGUGAGGGAAAGGUGAAAAGCACCCCGGAAGGGGAGUGAAAUAGAUCCUGAAACCGUGUGCCUACAACAAGUCAAAGCUCGUUAAUGAGUGAUGGCGUGCCUUUUGUAGAAUGAACCGGCGAGUUACGAUUGCAUGCGAGGUUAAGUUGAAGAGACGGAGCCGCAGCGAAAGCGAGUCUGAAUAGGGCGAAUGAGUAUGUAGUCGUAGACCCGAAACCAUGUGAUCUACCCAUGUCCAGGUUGAAGGUGCGGUAAAACGCACUGGAGGACCGAACCCACGUACGUUGAAAAGUGCGGGGAUGAGGUGUGGGUAGCGGAGAAAUUCCAAACGAACUUGGAGAUAGCUGGUUCUCUCCGAAAUAGCUUUAGGGCUAGCCUCGGAAUUGAGAAUGAUGGAGGUAGAGCACUGUUUGGACUAGGGGCCCAUCUCGGGUUACCGAAUUCAGAUAAACUCCGAAUGCCAUUCAUUUAUAUCCGGGAGUCAGACUGCGAGUGAUAAGAUCCGUAGUCGAAAGGGAAACAGCCCAGACCACCAGCUAAGGUCCCAAAAUAUAUGUUAAGUGGAAAAGGAUGUGGGGUUGCACAGACAACUAGGAUGUUGGCUUAGAAGCAGCCACCAUUUAAAGAGUGCGUAAUAGCUCCCUAGUCGAGUGACCCUGCGCCGAAAAUGUACCGGGGCUAAACAUAUUACCGAAGCUGUGGACUACACCAUUAGGUGUAGUGGUAGGAGAGCGUUCUAAGGGCGUUGAAGGUCGAUCGUGAGGACGGCUGGAGCGCUUAGAAGUGAGAAUGCCGGUAUGAGUAGCGAAAGACAGGUGAGAAUCCUGUCCACCGUAUGACUAAGGUUUCCUGGGGAAGGCUCGUCCGCCCAGGGUUAGUCGGGACCUAAGCCGAGGCCGAUAGGCGUAGGCGAUGGACAACAGGUUGAUAUUCCUGUACCAGUUGUUUUUGUUUGAACAAUGGAGGGACGCAGUAGGCUAAGGAAUGCAUGCGAUUGGAAGUGCAUGUCCAAGCAAUGAGUCUUGAGUAGAGUUAAAUGCUUUACUCUCUAAGGACAAGUUGUGACGGGGAGCGAAAUAAUAGUAGCGAAGUUCCUGAUGUCACACUGCCAAGAAAAGCUUCUAGUGAGAAAACAACUGCCCGUACCGUAAACCGACACAGGUAGUCGAGGAGAGUAUCCUAAGGUGAGCGAGCGAACUCUCGUUAAGGAACUCGGCAAAAUGACCCCGUAACUUCGGGAGAAGGGGUGCUGACUUCGGUCAGCCGCAGUGAAUAGGCCCAAGCGACUGUUUAUCAAAAACACAGGUCUCUGCAAAAUCGUAAGAUGAAGUAUAGGGGCUGACGCCUGCCCGGUGCUGGAAGGUUAAGAGGAUGGGUUAGCUUCGGCGAAGCUCAGAAUUGAAGCCCCAGUAAACGGCGGCCGUAACUAUAACGGUCCUAAGGUAGCGAAAUUCCUUGUCGGGUAAGUUCCGACCCGCACGAAAGGCGUAACGAUUUGGGCACUGUCUCAACGAGAGACUCGGUGAAAUUUUAGUACCUGUGAAGAUGCAGGUUACCCGCGACAGGACGGAAAGACCCCAUGGAGCUUUACUGUAGUUUGAUAUUGAGUGUUUGUACCACAUGUACAGGAUAGGUAGGAGCCGAUGAGACCGGAACGCUAGUUUCGGAGGAGGCGCUGGUGGGAUACUACCCUUGUGUUAUGAACCCUCUAACCCGCACCACUAAUCGUGGUGGGAGACAGUGUCAGAUGGGCAGUUUGACUGGGGCGGUCGCCUCCUAAAAGG
rnacentral:rRNA from 1 species